AAAAACGUACCGAAAUGCGAUACUUGGUGUGAAUUGCAAAAUCCCGUGAACCAUCGAGUCUUUGAACGCAAGUUGCGCCCGAAGCCUUCUGGCCAAGGGCACGUCUGCCUGGGCGUCAAGCAUCGCUUCGCCACCCCAGACACCCUAACCCGGUGGAUCGAGGGGG
rnacentral:rRNA from 1 species